GACGAACGCUGGCGGCGUGCUUAACACAUGCAAGUCGAACGGAAAGGCCCUGCUUUUGUGGGGUGCUCGAGUGGCGAACGGGUGUGUAACACGUGAGUAAACUGCCCUUGACUUUGGGAUAACUUCAGGGAACUGGGGCUCAUACCGGGUAGGAGCUCCUGCUGCAUGGGGGGGGAUGGAAAGUUUCGGCGGUAUGGGCUGGAAUCGCGGCUUAUGAGCUUGUUGGUGGGGUAGUGGCUGACCAAGGGUUCGAGGGCUAGGCGGCAUGAGAGCGUGACCGGGGACAAGGGGACUGCGAGACGCAGCAGAAGCCUAUGGGAGGCAGCAGGGGGGAACCUGGCAGAAUGGCGGCAAGCCUGAUGCGACAACCCCGCGUGCGGGAUGACGGGUUUCGGGGUGUAAACAGCUUUCGCCGGUGACGAGGCGGGAGUGACGGUAACGGGUAAAGAAGCAACGGCUAACUACGUG
rnacentral:rRNA from 1 species